rnacentral:rRNA from 1 species
AUUGAACGCUGGCGGCAGGCCUAACACAUGCAAGUCGAGCGGCAGCGGGAAAGUAGCUUGCUACUUUUGCCGGCGAGCGGCGGACGGGUGAGUAAUGCCUGGGAAAUUGCCCAGUCGAGGGGGAUAACAGUUGGAAACGACUGCUAAUACCGCAUACGCCCUACGGGGGAAAGGAGGGGACCUUCGGGCCUUGCGGGAUUGGAUCUGCCCAGGUGGGAUUAGCUAGUUGGUGAGGUAAUGGCCCACCAAGGCGACGAUCCCUAGCUGGUCUGAGAGGAUGAUCAGCCACACUGGAACUGAGACACGGUCCAGACUCCUACGGGAGGCAGCAGUGGGGAAUAUUGCACAAUGGGGGAAACCCUGAUGCAGCCAUGCCGCGUGUGUGAAGAAGGCCUUCGGGUUGUAAAGCACUUUCAGCGAGGAGGAAAGGUUGAUGCCUAAUACGUAUCAACUGUGACGUUACUCGCAGAAGAAGCACCGGCUAACUCCGUGCCAGCCGCCGCGGUAA